GGCCUACUGGCCCAAUGGCAAGGCGUCUGACUACGAUUCAAUUCGAUAUCAGGAGAUUGCAGGUUCGAUCCCUGCGUAGGUCA
rnacentral:tRNA from 1 species